rnacentral:tRNA from 1 species
GGGAAGGUGGCUCAGUGGUAGAGUGCUUGCCUUGUAUGCAUGAGGUGCCAUUCCU